rnacentral:rRNA from 1 species
GUAGGGGUGCAAGCGUUAAUCGGAAUUACUGGGCGUAAAGCGUGCGCAGGGCGGUUUUGUAAGUCUGUCGUGAAAGCCCCGGGGCUUAACCUGGGAAUUGCGAUGGAGACUGCAAGGCUUGAAUCUGGCAGGGGGGGGUAGAAUUCCACGUGUAGCAGUGAAAUGCGUAGAGAUGUGGAGGAACACCGAUGGCGAAGGCAGCCCCCUGGGUCAAGAUUGACGCUCAUGCACGAAAGCGUGGGGAGCAAACAGGAUUAGAUACCCUGGUAGUCCACGCCCUAAACGAUGUCUACUAGUUGUCGGGUCUUAAUUGACUUGGUAACGCAGCUAACGCGUGAAGUAGACCGCCUGGGGAGUACGGUCGCAAGAUUA